rnacentral:tRNA from 1 species
AACGUUUUCCCCCUUUUCUGGUUUACAAAACAGGGGGAAGAGGAACACGCACCUAACCCUGGUGUU